UACGUAGGGUGCAAGCGUUGUCCGGAAUUAUUGGGCGUAAAGAGCUCGUAGGCGGUUUGUCGCGUCGGCUGUGAAAACCUGGGGCUCAACCCCGGGCCUGCAGCCGAUACGGGCAGGCUUGAGUGUGGUAGGGGAGACUGGAAUUCCUGGUGUAGCGGUGAAAUGCGCAGAUAUCAGGAGGAACACCGAUGGCGAAGGCAGGUCUCUGGGCAUUAACUGACGCUGAGGAGCGAAAGCAUGGGGAGCGAACAGG
rnacentral:rRNA from 1 species